UGUUUUCAGCAAGCCCUGGGUCUGUUGGCCUUUUUUUUAACUCCCGUGCUUCGCGCCGGCGAUUUGAAAUGUCAUCUUUAUUUCUUGCAUACCUCUCUCUAUCUCUUUGCUUUUUGGCUUCAUUAGGAUCUGCAGCUGUGUAAUGGUUCACAAUGUUCUUGUAUAAAUGACAUAAUAUAGGUUCAUGUUAUCUACCUUGUACUUUCGUGUUAGUUAUGUCCUGCAAUGGAUGGUGGCUAGAAGAUGACAUUAUGAUCUGUGCUUCCUCUGUAUGAAAAUACAUUUUUAUUGUUGACAUUGAGUCAUUUAAUUUAACCUGGUGCUUAAUGGAGCUCCCUGCACCUGGAGCUUGUUUCUUCGAAGAGAGUGCGUAGAUGCUGCAAAUGAAGUGGUGCCUGUACACAAUUACAGCUGCGGUAAUUAAGUCCAAGCGCAGUAUCAAUUAUUAUUCAGUUAUGAACUACGUCCAAGCGCAGUAUGAAAUAUAGCUAUAUAUUAAUUCGAGUAUGAUUCAUAUUUGGCUUCAAAUUUGAAAAGAAGCUGCAGUGAUGCAGCGUUGGCUCCUCCUUAGGCGGCUGUCGUCGAUUUGUGGACGGAUGGCCGGACGUUUGGACGACGAUGGAAGGCGGACGAUGGCGCAGUGGCGGCGGCCGGCACCCCGCGGCGCAGAGAUCUCGGCGGAGGUGGUUGGCGCCCCACGGUGACGAUCACCGUGCGCGACAGAAGCGCGACGACUGGAUGACGGCAGCCGUUGCUGCAGUGGCAGUGGUCGCUGUUGGCAAAAGCGCUGGACGGAAUCGGCGCAGCUGGCGCGAUGAAGCACGGCGGCGACAGGCCGGUGGUGACGGCAACGGAGGCGUGGUGCGUCGUGCGUCGGCGCACGUCUGGUGCGGUUACGUUCAAUUCUCUUGCGGAAAGCUUUUUUUUUUUUUAGCGCCAGAGCUUCCAGUACGCCAGCGUGGUUCGAUCGUUGGCUGGAUUUCUGAUCGCGAGAGGUUCCAGUCCACCAGGGAGUGCCCGCCCUUGUUUGUAGCGUUGGAUGGAUGAUCUAUGGCUGAGAUUGUUUGGAUCACCACCCUCUGUGUCUUUUUAUAUUA